rnacentral:rRNA from 1 species
UACGUAGGGUGCAAGCGUUGUCCGGAAUUAUUGGGCGUAAAGAGCUCGUAGGCGGCUUGUCGCGUCGGCUGUGAAAACCUGGGGCUCAACCCCGGGCCUGCAGCCGAUACGGACAAGCUAGAAUUCGGUAGGGGAGACUGGAAUUCCUGGUGUAGCGGUGAAAUGCGCAGAUAUCAGGAGGAACACCGGUGGCGAAGGCGGGUCUCUGGACAGUUCCUGACGCUGAGGCACGAAGGCCAGGGGAGCAAACGGG